rnacentral:rRNA from 1 species
CAGGGAAUCUUCGGCAAUGGACGAAAGUCUGACCGAGCAACGCCGCGUGAGUGAAGAAGGUUUUCGGAUCGUAAAACUCUGUUGUUAGAGAAGAACAAGGACGUUAGUAACUGAACGUCCCCUGACGGUAUCUAACCAGAAAGCCACGGCUAACUACGUGCCAGCAGCCGCGGUAAUACGUAGGUGGCAAGCGUUGUCCGGAUUUAUUGGGCGUAAAGCGAGCGCAGGCGGUUUCUUAAGUCUGAGGUGAAAGCCCCCGGCUCAACCGAAGAGGGUUAUUGGAAACUGGGAGACUUGAGUGCAGAAGAGGGGGGUGGAAUUCCAUGUGUAGCGGUGAAAUGCGUAGAUAUAUGGAGGAACACCAGUGGCGAAGGCGGCUCUGUGGUCUGUAGCUGACGAUGAGGCACGAAAGGGUGGGGAGCAAACAGG